UACGUAGGGUGCAAGCGUUAAUCGGAAUUACUGGGCGUAAAGCGUGCGCAGGCGGUUGUGCAAGACAGAUGUGAAAUCCCCGGGCUCAACCUGGGAACUGCAUUUGUGACUGUAGAGCUGGAGUACGGCAGAGGGGGAUGGAAUUCCGCGUGUAGCAGUGAAAUGCGUAGAUAUGCGGAGGAACACCGAUGGCGAAGGCAAUCCCCUGGGCCUGUACUGACGCUCAUGCACGAAAGCGUGGGGAGCAAACAGG
rnacentral:rRNA from 1 species